rnacentral:lncRNA from 1 species
UUUUAGGAGACCUGCAGUAGUAGGGUUAAGUGUUGUUGCACUUCCAUCCCCAUUAUUUCCCCAUUCUAUAGGAUGAUACUUUUGAAGAUGUCUAAUAAGUGUCCCAGUCCCCCCUAAAUUACCUCCGAUCAAAUGUUUAAACGUUUCGCUACAAAGUUUGCACUUAACUCUAUCAGUACCUUCUACUAUAUCAGAAAAUUUCCAAACAGGACUUCUUUUUUUACGAGUAGAAGUUGGAGCCACUGGUGGUCUUCUACCGCUUGUUGCACUAGCAACUCCAACUCCAAUACUACCNNN